UGCCUAACACAUGCAAGUCGAACGGGGGUAGCAAUACCCUAGUGGCGAACGGGUGAGUAACACAUAAGCAAUCUGCCCUUCACAGGGGGAUAACAGCGGGAAACUGCUGCUAAUACCGCAUAAGACCACAGUACCGCAUGGUACAGGGGUAAAAACGAAUCAGUGGUGAAGGAUGAGCUUAUGUCCCAUUAGCUAGUUGGUGAGAUAACAGCCCACCAAGGCGACGAUGGGUAGCCGACCUGAGAGGGUGAUCGGCCACACUGGAACUGAGACACGGCCCAGACUCCUACGGGAGGCAGCAGUGGGGAAUAUUGGGCAAUGGAGGGAAAAACCUCUUACCCAGCAAUGCCGCGUGAGUGAAGAAGGUCUUCGGAUUGUAAAGCUCUUUGAUUGGGGACGAAGAAAGUGACGGUACCCAAAGAACAAGCCCCGGCUAACUACGUGCCAGCAGCCGC
rnacentral:rRNA from 1 species